GUAAAAGGCUGCUGCAUGUUGAAACUGGCCAAAGAUUCUCCGGGCCCAAAGCCGAAGUGCAAGUGGAAGGAAGAUCUCUGAAAACAGCUCUUCUCUAGAUGACCUGGAAAUAGGCCCAGGUCAAUUGUCAUCUUCUACAUUUGACUCGGAGAAAAAUGAGAGUAGGCGAAAUCUGGAACUUCCACGCCUCUCAGAAACCUCUAUAAAGGAUCGAAUGGCCAAGUACCAGGCAGCUGUGUCCAAACAAAGCAGCUCAACCAACUAUACAGCCGGGCAUUUAUAUAUGUAUGAAUGAGCUGAAAGCCAGUGGUGGCGAAAUCAAAAUUCAUAAAAUGGAGCAAAAGGAGAAUGUGCCCCCAGGUCCUGAGGUCUGCAUCACCCAUCAGGAAGGGGAAAAGAUUUCUGCAAAUGAGAAUAGCCUGGCAGUCCGUUCCACCCCUGCUGAAGAUGACUCCCGUGACUCCCAGGUUAAGAGUGAGGUUCAACAGCCUGUCCAUCCCAAGCCACUAAGUCCAGAUUCCAGAGCCUCCAGUCUUUCUGAAAGUUCUCCUCCCAAAGCAAUAAAG
rnacentral:sRNA from 1 species